AGCGAACGCUGGCGGCAGGCCUAACACAUGCAAGUCGAGCGCCGUAGCAAUACGGAGCGGCAGACGGGAGAGUAACACGUGGGAACGUACCCUUUGGUUCGGAACAACCCAGGGAAACUUGGGCUAAUACCGGAUAAGCCCUUACGGGGAAAGAUUCAUCGCCGAAGGAUCGGCCCGCGUCUGAUUAGCUAGUUGGGGGGGUAAUGGCCCACCAAGGCGACGAUCAGUAGCUGGUCUGAGAGGAUGAUCAGCCUCACUGGGACUGAGACACGGCCCAGACUCCUACGGGAGGCAGCAGUGGGGAAUAUUGGACAAUGGGCGCAAGCCUGAUCCAGCCAUGCCGCGUGGGUGAUGAAGGCCCUAGGGUUGUAAAGCCCUUUCGGCGGGGAAGAUAAUGACGGUACCCGCAGAAGAAGCCCCGGCUAACUUCGUGCCAGCAGCCGCCGUAAUAC
rnacentral:rRNA from 1 species